CCUACGGGUGGCAGCAGUGAGGAAUAUUGGUCAAUGGACGGAAGUCUGAACCAGCCAUGCCGCGUGCAGGAAGACGGCUCUAUGAGUUGUAAACUGCUUUUGUACAAGGGUAAACCUGAAUACGUGUAUUCAGCUGAAAGUACUGUACGAAUAAGGAUCGGCUAACUCGGUGCCAGCAGCCGCGGUAAUACGGAGGAGCCAAGCGUUAUCCGGAUUUAUUGGGUUUAAGGGGUGCGUGGGAGGAUUGAUAAGUUGGGGUGGAAAUGUCCGAGUCUAACUCGGGAACUGCCUCUAAUACUGUUUAUCUAGAGAGUAGAUGCGGUAGGCGGAAUGUAUGGUGUAGCGGUGAAAUGCUUAGAGAUCAUACAGAACACCGAUUGCGAAGGCAGCUUACCAAUCUAUAUCUGACGUUGAGGCACGAAAGCGUGGGGAGCAAACAGGAUUAGAUACCCUGGUAGUC
rnacentral:rRNA from 1 species